UACGUAGGGGGCUAGCGUUGUCCGGAAUCAUUGGGCGUAAAGGGCGCGUAGGCGGCCAAGUAAGUUGGGGGUGAAAGCCCGUGGCUCAACCACGGAAUUGCCUUCGAUACUGCUUGGCUUGAGACCGGAAGAGGUGAGUGGAACUGCGAGUGUAGAGGUGAAAUUCGUAGAUAUUCGCAAGAACACCAGUGGCGAAGGCGGCUUACUGGUCCGGUUCUGACGCUGAGGCGCGAAAGCGUGGGGAGCAAACAGG
rnacentral:rRNA from 1 species